ACGAGAACAAGCGCAGUAGCAGACAUCGGUUGCAGCCACCAGUCUCAUGCGAAGGGAGAUAUCCAGAAACCGCGAUAAGCUCGGACCUCCUCUGUUCCAUCGUUUAAGUGCAAACUGAAAUAGAACAAGGGACAACAGGCGGCAAUUCCCUGCUUGGCUUUAGCGAACCAGUUGGAGCAUCGGAGAUUGCUUGACAGGCAGUAGAAAGAGGUGUCGUAGAACCCUGUUUCYGGAGUCUUUCUGGAUUCUGGGUUCUAUUGAAAAGCUCUCAAGGUGUUUUGUGAGGGGGUACAGGAGAAGAAUAGCUUGRAUUUGCUUGGGAAGAUAAAAGUUUAUUCCUAGGCCCAUUAAACUUGCCAAUUUCUGGCUGUUGUUUCAAGAAUGUGUGAGGCGAUGGAACCAUGGAUCCUCAAAGUUUUGAAAAGAGUGGCAUUAGGUGGACUGCCAGGUCCAUUAGCUACAAGAUCACCCUAUGGAAAUAAAGUAGGCCAAUUUGCUAGCUAUAUUGUGAUACAUCAUCAUAAAAUAUAAAAGGAAAAAAAGGAAAGGGGAAACCCUCAAAGCCUAUGCUGUCACUUGGAGAGCUGUUGAAGYUGCCUUCUCCCCUUUUAUGGUUUCUUCCUGUUUCUUUAUUUUUCUUCGUUAUGUUUGUAUCCAAAAGGUUCAAAUAA